AUACGUAGGGUGCGAGCGUUGUCCGGAAUUACUGGGCGUAAAGAGCUCGUAGGUGGUUUGUCGCGUCGUCUGUGAAAUUCCGGGGCUUAACUCCGGGCGUGCAGGCGAUACGGGCAUAACUUGAGUACUGUAGGGGAGACUGGAAUUCCUGGUGUAGCGGUGAAAUGCGCAGAUAUCAGGAGGAACACCGGUGGCGAAGGCGGUGCUCUGGGCAGUAACUGACGCUGAGGAGCGAAAGCAUGGGUAGCGAACAGGAUUAGAUACCCUGGUAGUCCAUGCCGUAAACGGUGGGCGCUAGGUGUAGGGGUCUUCCACGACUUCUGUGCCGUAGCUAACGCAUUAAGCGCCCCGCCUGGGGAGUACGGCCGCAAGGCUAAAACUCAAAUGAAUUGACGGGG
rnacentral:rRNA from 1 species